AACCCAUGAUGAGGGCAUUUCCAUAAUAAUUCCUUAUAUCUUUCUCAUGCCUCAUAUAAGUUCUUGCCUUCGUAUUGAGCAAAAUUGUUGAUUUCAAUCUGCAUCU